CAGCCACGCAAAGGUGUGAAACCCUGACAUUCGCUGCUACGAGGAUGCACCCUGAGAACACGAUGCUCAGGGAGAGAAGUCAGACACAGAAGGACACACAGGGUGUGACCCCACUGAGGGGAAACAUCCAGAACAGGUAAUCAGUCCUGACUCCUUGAUCUGGGGCUUCCAGCCUCCAGAGUCUCGAGGACAUCCACUUCUGUUGUGUAAGCGCCCAGUGAGUGGGGUUUGAUGAAGGAAACUGACACCGAGGGCGUCGCCACGUGCGGGGUGACAUCAGUGGAAGAAUCCCGUGGCGAGGGCCUGCCUGAGGACCACGGGAGAGCCUGGGCCCUCCCCGCCCCCUGCCUGCAGCCCCGCGCCCGCACCCUCCUGGGAGCGGAGCUGGUGCAUCGCUUGCCAGAACUCAUGGAAGUCGAAGGUCAGCCCCAGCAGCUCCUGGGAGAUGCCCAGCCGCCCGCGCGUGACCCCCUGCAUGGGGAAGGACUCAUUGAGCAGGUCCUUUUGGAACCAGAAACGGCGUGAACCGUGAUGAGCUCUAAGGCCAAGGGCAGGAAGAAAUGCGACCAGCCUCUCCAGGAGCCACCCAGGGGCCUCCCCGGGCUCAACAGUACAAACUCGGCUGCCGUGCAGACAGCAGCUCAUGCCCACGGCGCCCGAACACCCAGCCCCUGGACGGCGAGAGGCCUGUUGCUGCAGGUGGCCCGGGGCUGGCUGGUGAGGCCCGGCCCCAGGCGUACGCCACCUUCUCUGGGGCCACCUCUCCAGGUCUGCGGUGGGGUUCUCCUGGGAGCCCCCAGUCACCACAGGACCAACGUGGCCUGUCUGCAGCCCAAGAAGGUCGGGACACAGGACUGUCCCCCGUGCCCCCCGCAUCACCCGCGAGGCCGAGCAAGCACCAGUGGUGUCUGCGGGGAAGAUGAAGGGCUCAUGCACAGCCCCCAUCUACUGAAGAUGCUGAAAGGGAGAAGCCCAGACUGCAGCCACACGCGGUAUGGAGCAAACGCAAGUGUCCUUGCAGGAACCGAUGUCUGAAUGUCAAGGCUGUACCCGGCCCACAGUGAGAAGGCCCAGGCCCCACGAAAGGCACAGAGAGGGGAUGGGGGGAACAUCUGCGAAUCUGAGCUCAUCGGGCAUCACCCCAGAGGGAGAGGGAGCGGGAGAGGGAGAGGGAGAGAGCCAGAAGGAGAUACGGAGAGAGAGGGAGACAGAGGGAGGUACAGAGGUCUCUCCCUUCCCUGGGGGUUCUCUAGUGCAGCCAAGCCUGAAAACCACUGCAUUUCGGGAGAUGGGUCCUCGUGGAAAAGUUAAAUAGUAGCUCAUGGCAUUAUCGACACAUAUUAAAAAAGCCCCAAAUGUUGGGGAGUCAGGGAGGGGAGCUGGCGGCUGCCUCGUAAAGGAGGAGAGAUUGGGCGUCAGAGGAGGUGCCUGUGCAGCCCGCCGCCGCCGCCCAGGGCCCCACAGACUUCAUCUCCCAGCUGUGGUCCUGGGCUGGAAGGCAGCAGGGAGGUCAGGCCGUCCAAGCAUCAACGUUGACUUCAGGGCUGAUCUAAAGGGCGCCUGGUGUUUGUUGAAGCAGAAAAAAGAGAAAGCAGUGGGGAGAGGAUGGGAGGGGGAGGGAGCCCCCAUCAGCCCUUCUCCCUGUCUCCCUCUCUGUCUCCCUGUCUCUCUCCCUCCCUCCCUCUACCUCCCUGCCUCUCACUCUCCCUCUCCCUCCAUCUCUCCCUGUCCCUCUCUCCCUCCCUCUCUCCCUGUCCCUCUUGCCCUGUCCCUCUCUCCCUCCCUCCAUCCCUGUCUCUCUUUCCCUGUCCCUCUCUCCCUCUCCCUCUCUCCCUGUCCCUCUCUGCCUCCCUCUCUCCCUCCCUCCACCCCUGUCCCUCUCUGCCUCCCUCUCUCCCUCGCUCCAUCCCUGUCUCUCUUUCCCUGUCCCCCUCUCCCUCUGUCUCUCCCUCUCUGGGAGGGAGAGAGGGAGA